GGUUAAGCGACUAAGCGUACACGGUGGAUGCCCUGGCAGUCAGAGGCGAUGAAGGACGUGCUAAUCUGCGAAAAGCGCCGGCGAGGUGAUAUGAACCCUUGACCCGGCGAUGUCCGAAUGGGGAAACCCAGUGCAAUCCGUUGCACUAUCGUUAACUGAAUACAUAGGUUAACGAGGCGAACCGGGGGAACUGAAACAUCUAAGUACCCCGAGGAAAAGAAAUCAACCGAGAUUCCCCCAGUAGCGGCGAGCGAACGGGGAGCAGCCCGGAGUCUGAAUCAGCUUGUGUGUUAGUGGAACGGUCUGGAAAGUCCGACGGUACAGGGUGAUAGUCCCGUACACGAAAGCACACUUGCUGUGAACUCGAAGAGUAGGGCGGGACACGUGGUAUCCUGUCUGAAUAUGGGGGGACCAUCCUCCAAGGCUAAAUACUCCUGACUGACCGAUAGUGAACCAGUACCGUGAGGGAAAGGCGAAAAGAACCCCGGCGAGGGGAGUGAAAAAGAACCUGAAACCGUGUACGUACAAGCAGUGGGAGCCUCUUUAUGGGGUGACUGCGUACCUUUUGUAUAAUGGGUCAGCGACUUAUAUUCUGUAGCAAGGUUAACCGUAUAGGGGAGCCGAAGGGAAACCGAGUCUUAACUGGGCGUUAAGUUGCAGGGUAUAGACCCGAAACCCGGUGAUCUAGCCAUGGGCAGGUUGAAGGUUGGGUAACACUAACUGGAGGACCGAACCGACUAAUGUUGAAAAAUUAGCGGAUGACCUGUGGCUGGGGGUGAAAGGCCAAUCAAACCGGGAGAUAGCUGGUUCUCCCCGAAAGCUAUUUAGGUAGCGCCUCGUGAA
rnacentral:rRNA from 1 species